rnacentral:rRNA from 1 species
UACGGAGGGUGCAAGCGCUAUCCGGAUUCACUGGGUUUAAAGGGAGCGUAGGUGGUCUUAUAAGUCAGUGGUGAAAUCUCGCAGCUUAACUGCGAAACUGCCAUUGAUACUGUAGGACUUGAGUAUAGUUGCUGUGGGCGGAAUAUGACAUGUAGUGGUGAAAUACUUAGAUAUGACAUAGAACACCGAUAGCGAAGGCAGCUUGCUACACAAUUAUUGACACUGAGGCUCGAAAAGCGUGGGGAUCAAAACAGG